rnacentral:rRNA from 1 species
GAACCGUCCAAACGUUGUUCGGAAUCACUGGGCUUAAAGGGCGCGUAGGCGGGUGAUCAAGUCAGGGGUGAAAUCUUUCGGCUUAACCGGAAAACAGCCCCUGAUACUGGUUGUCUUGAGGGAGGUAGGGGUCUGUGGAACUUCCGGUGGAGCGGUGAAAUGCGUUGAUAUCGGAAGGAACGCCGGUGGCGAAAGCGACGGACUGGACCUCUUCUGACGCUGAGGCGCGAAAGCUAGGGUAGCGAACGGGAUUAGAUACCCCGGUAGUCCUAGCCCUAAACGAUGGGUACUAGGUUGUAGACUUCCAUGGGUUUACAGCCGAAGCAAAAGUGGUAAGUACCCCGCCUGGGGAGUAUGGUCGCAAGGCUG